GGCCUUGUGCUUGGCGAUAGUUCAUUCAAAUUUCUGCCCUAUCAGCUUUUGACGGUAGUGUAGUGGACUACCGUGGCGUUAACGGGUGACGGAGAAUUAGGGUUCGAUUCCGGAGAGGGAGCCUGAGAAACGGCUACCACAUCCAAGGAAGGCAGCAGGCGCGCAAAUUACCCAAUGCUGACACAGUGAGGUAGUGACAAGAAAUAACAAUAUCGGGCUUUAACGGUCUGAUAAUUGGAAUGAGUGUAAUUUAAAUCCCUAUGCGAGGAUCCACUGGAGGGCAAGUCUGGUGCCAGCAGCCGCGGUAAUUCCAGCUCCAGUAGCGUAUAUUAAAGUUGUUGCAGUUAAAAAGCUCGUAGUUGGAUUUCUGGUUAACUGCGAACGGUCCGGUGUCCUCGGGAUGCUGUGUACCGUCGUAUGUUUGCCAUCCUUUCAGGAAGCUGUGCCUACCGCCUUCGUGCGGCAGGGCGCUGCGAUUUGAAUCGUUUACUUUGAAAAAAUUAGAGUGUUUCACGCAGGCUUAUGCCUUGAAUACAUUAGCAUGGAAUAAUAAUAUAGGACUUCGAUCCUAUUUUGUUGGUUUUCAGGACCGGGGUAAUGAUUGAUAGGGACAGUUGGGGGUGCUAGUAUUCAGCGGCCAGAGGUGAAAUUCAUGGAUUCGCUGAAGACUAACUACUGCGAAAGCAUUCACCAAGGAUGUCUUCUUUAAUCAAGAACGAAAGUUGGGGGAUCGAAGACGAUCAGAUACCGUCGUAGUCUCAACCAUAAACUAUACCGACUAAGGAUCAGCGAACGUCUAAUUUUUGACCUCGUUGGCACUUUAUGAGAAAUCAAAGUCUUUGGGUUCCGG
rnacentral:rRNA from 1 species